CGGGGAGACCGGCGUCAAGACGACUGACAGACAUUUCUCAGCGUUCGGCUGGCAUCUUCAGAUUCGUCCUCCGCUUGACAGCAGCGUCUCCCGACUUGACAGACGAAGGAGCGUGUGGCUUGCUGUAUGAAAACAGGGCCUGGCCUAAUGUUGCAUGAAGACCAUGGUGAAUUCAUAUUGAUGGGAAAGCAGCCUCUGAAGCCCAGCAGCCAUGAUUUUUUCAUAAGCCACCGGGAACAAGAAGUCAGUCAGCUGACAGAGCGAAGCAACCCACGAGCCAAACAGCACGUACAUGUUUGGCAGGAGAGGCCAACAUCUCCUCCUCCGCCUCCUGCAUCCAGUUGUGAUCCGGUCGUCUUGACACAGACAUCGAGAUGCUGUCCUGGACGAAUAAAGAGGUGUGGUGUGGGAACUGUUGGCCAUGCAAGGGGAACUGUCUCCGGCAAGAUGAAAAGCAGACAGUCCACCAAGGACGGCAGGACAGAUUGAUGUCCUCGCCGAAGCAGCGUACCUUGACACACACGCUUCAAAAUGGUUCCUUAGCAGGCGACAAUAAGAAAAUAGGCAACCGGUGUGGGAUUUUCUCUUAAUAGAUCACUGCCCAAUCGAUCACGGUAUCGACCAUUGGAAAUAUACGACUGCCCUGCUUUCUAUUGGAAUGUUUGCCCUGCUGAAGUGCUUUCGUUGCAUGACAAACCGGUCAAACUCGUACUGCAGAGUGACUUGUCAUUGCAGCUGCUAAAAUUGACCGGAGGAAAACAAACAAAGCAGGCAAUUAGAACUAUUGUGUGUACUGGGAACACUCAUGUUUUAUUCCAGGGCUAUUUUAUGUGUCUCCACUUAUUUCACAUUAACCCCAGUACACAUGAUACUUUUAUUGACAGCAUGAAUAUAACUGGUACGACUUUCU